rnacentral:rRNA from 1 species
AGAGUUUGAUCCUGGCUCAGAAUGAACGUUGGCGGCGUGGAUUAGGCAUGCAAGUCGUACGCACAGCUUCGGCUGUGAGUGGCGCAAGGGUGAGUAAUGCGAAGGUAACCAACCCUGGAUUGGGCAUAACCGCGGGAAACUGCGGGUAAUUCCCAGCGAUGUCGCGAGAUGGCAUCAUCUUGCGACCAAAGGUGUGAUUCCGCUCUAGGACGGGCCUUCGUGGUAUUAGGUAGUUGGUGAGGUAACGGCUCACCAAGCCGACGAUGCCUACCGGGUGUGAGAGCAUGACCCGGCACACUGGAACUGAGACACUGUCCAGACACCUACGGGUGGCUGCAGUCGAGAAUCUUCGGCAAUGGGCGAAAGCCUGACCGAGCGACGCCGCGUGAGGGAAGAAGGCCUUCGGGUUGUAAACCUCUUUCGUAGAGGAGGAAGGGGCCGUGCAGAGCGGUCUUUGACCUAUUCUAGGAAGAAGCUUGGGCUAAGUUCGUG